rnacentral:lncRNA from 1 species
UUAUCCCCUCUGUCCACUCCGACUAAAGGUACUAUAACUACAAUUUUCUUCUUCUACAAGAAACAUAAAUUAAUAAAGCUAAUACGAAACAGUAGCAAUUAAAAAGCUGUAAAUAUAGCAAGUAGGACAAAUAUGCUAGGGACCAGAAUCGUUUUCUUGGACUCAGGAUCUAUUGAAACUAAGACAAAUAUAGCAAAGGCCAUCCUCAUUUCAUCAGAUUCUAUAACAACCAAUCUAACAAAUUUCACAUUUUCUUUUCUGCUUUGCUCCA